rnacentral:rRNA from 1 species
CAAUAGCGUAUAUUUAAGUUGCUGCAGUUAAAAAGCUCGUAGUUGGAUUUCGGGUGGGAAUGGCCGGUCCGCCGUUUCGGUGUGCACUUGCUACGCCCACCUUGCUGCCGGGGACGUGCUCUUGAGUUCACGCUCGGGACACGGAGUCGGCGAGGUUACUUUGAGUAAAUUAGAGUGUUCAAAGCAGGCCUACGCUCUGAAUACAUUAGCAUGGAAUAACACGAUAGGACUCUGGCCUAUCUUGUUGGUCUGUAGGACCGGAGUAAUGAUUAAGAGGGACAGUCGGGGGCAUUCGUAUUUCAUUGUCAGAGGUGAAAUUCUUGGAUUUAUGAAAGACGAACUACUGCGAAAGCACUUGCCAAGGAUGUUUUCAUUGA